rnacentral:rRNA from 1 species
GACGAACGCUGGCGGCGCGCUUAACACAUGCAAGUCGAACGGAAAGGCCUGCUUUCCCUUGUGGAUUGCGGGUACUCGAGUGGCGAACGGGUGAGUAACACGUGAGUGAUCUGCCCCCAACUUGGGUAUAAGCCUGGGAAACUGGGUCUAAUUCCCGAUAGGACUGCAGGGUGGUGCCUGUGGUGGAAAACGAUUUUCUAGUGGUUGGGGAUGAGCUCGCGGCCUAUCAGCUUGUUGGUGGGGUAAUGGCCUACCAAGGCGGCGACGGGUAGCCGGCCUGAGAGGGUGGACGGCCACAUUGGGACUGAGAUACGGCCCAGACUCCUACGGGAGGCAGCAGUGGGGAAUAGUGCACAAUGGGCGGAAGCCUGAUGCAGCGACGCCGCGUGGGGGAUGACGGCCUUCGGGUUGUAAACUCCUUUCGACCGCGAGGAAGCCACCUGGUUGGAAGGGUGGUGACGGUAGUGGUAGAAGAAACACCGGCUAACUACGU